rnacentral:rRNA from 1 species
CAGCCGCCGCGGUAAUACGAAGGGGGCUAGCGUUGUUCGGAUUUACUGGGCGUAAAGGGCGCGUAGGCGGGCGAAUAAGUCAGGGGUGAAAUCCCAAGGCUCAACCUUGGAACUGCCUUUGAUACUGUUUGUCUUGAGUUCGAGAGAGGUAAGUGGAACUGCGAGUGUAGAGGUGAAAUUCGUAGAUAUUCGCAAGAACACCAGUGGCGAAGGCGGCUUACUGGCUCGAAACUGACGCUGAGGCGCGAAAGCGUGGGGAGCAAACAGGAUUAGAUACCCCCGUAGUCCCUGUCUCUUAUAC